CCUACGGGGGGCAGCAGUGAGGAAUAUUGGUCAAUGGGCGGAAGCCUGAACCAGCCAAGUCGCGUGAGGGAAUAAGGCCCUACGGAUCGUAAACCUCUUUUGCCGGGGAGCAAGGGCGGGGACGUGUCCCGGCCCGGAGAGUACCCGGAGAAAAAGCAUCGGCUAACUCCGUGCCAGCAGCCGCGGUAAUACGGAGGAUGCGAGCGUUAUCCGGAUUUAUUGGGUUUAAAGGGUGCGCAGGCGGUCUGUUAAGUCAGCGGUCAAAGCCCGGGGCUCAACCCCGGCCCGCCGUUGAAACUGGCAGC
rnacentral:rRNA from 1 species